rnacentral:rRNA from 1 species
AUUGAACGCUAGCGGGAUGCUUUACACAUGCAAGUCGAACGGCAGCGCGGACUUCGGUCUGGCGGCGAGUGGCGAACGGGUGAGUAAUGUAUCGGAACGUGCCCAGUAGCGGGGGAUAACUACGCGAAAGCGUAGCUAAUACCGCAUACGCCCUACGGGGGAAAGCAGGGGAUCGUAAGACCUUGCACUAUUGGAGCGGCCGAUAUCGGAUUAGCUAGUUGGUGAGGUAACGGCUCACCAAGGCGACGAUCCGUAGCUGGUUUGAGAGGACGACCAGCCACACUGGGACUGAGACACGGCCCAGACUCCUACGGGAGGCAGCAGUGGGGAAUUUUGGACAAUGGGGGCAACCCUGAUCCAGCCAUCCCGCGUGAGCGAUGAAGGCCUUCGGGUUGUAAAGCACUUUUGGCAGGAAAGAAACGUCGCGGGCUAAUACCCCGUGGAACUGACGGUACCUGCAGAAUAAGCACCGGCUAACUACGUG